rnacentral:RNase_P_RNA from 1 species
CACAGAGCAGGGAUGCCGGCUAAUUACCGGUGGAGGCGGCUCCAAGGAAAGUGCAACAGAAAUAGACAGCCUGAAAUUUCAGGUGAUGAUGGAAAGGUGGGGUAAGAGCCCACCGCACUCGUGGAGACAUGAGUGGCUCUGUAAACCCCAUCCGGAGCAAGGUAGAAAGGGCAAGUGCAUUUUAUACACAAGCGGCUGCUCGCUGCGCCCUAAACGCCGCUGGAGCCAUAUGGAAACAUAUGGCGUAGAUAGAUGACCGUUCCAGACAGAACUCGGCUUAUAGGCCCGA